rnacentral:rRNA from 1 species
GUGGGGAAUUGUUCGCAAUGGGCGCAAGCCUGACGACGCAACGCCGCGUGGAGGAUGAAGAUCUUCGGGUCGUAAACUCCUGUCGAGCGGGAAGAACGUUUCGCGGAUGAAUAAGCCGCGGAAGUGACGGUACCGCUAAAGGAAGCCCCGGCUAACUCCGUGCCAGCAGCCGCGGUAAUACGGGGGGGGCAAGCGUUGUUCGGAAUUACUGGGCGUAAAGGGCUCGUAGGUGGCCAACUAAGUCAGACGUGAAAUCCCCAGGCUUAACCUGGGAACUGCGUCUGAUACUGGAUGGCUUGAAUUCGGGAGAGGGAUGCAGAAUUCCAGGUGUAGCGGUGAAAUGCGUAGAUAUCUGGAGGAAUACCGGUGGCGAAGGCGGCAUCCUGGACCGAGAUUGACACUGAGGAGCGAAAGCCAGGGGAGCAAACGGGAUUAGAAACCCCAGUAGUCC